UAAACACCUUGACUGGUUUCUUCUUCAUUAUCUACAUUGUUGUCCCAAUUGCUUACUGGAAUAAUGCCUACGAUGCCAAGAAAUUCCCCAUCUUUUCCCAGAAGACUUUUGACAGUACAGGAGCACACUACGACGUCGACAGGAUUCUGAACAAGAAAACAUUUGAGAUUGAUUACCCUGCCUAUAAUGGCUACAGCAAACUCUAUCUCAGUGUCACCUUUGCCUUUGUUUAUGGCAUGACUUUUGCUGCUCUCAUGGCUACCAUUGUACAUGUUGCCUUGUUUGAUGGCAAGUAAGUUAUAGCCAAUGUUUUCUUUUCCUUCAUUCUAUAUACUAGAAAAUGAAAGGGAAAAUUGAUUUGUGAAAAUUGUACAGAACAAUAUGGAAGCUUUGGAAGAAGACUACAGGUGCAGUGAAGGAUCGGUACUCUGAUGUGCAUACAAGGCUGAUGAAGAAGAACUAUGAAGCAGUACCUGAAUGGUGGUUCUUGAUAAUCCUGGCUAUUUCUUUUGCUCUUGCUCUUCUUGCAGUUGAAGGUUUCGGCAAACAGCUUCAGCUUCCAUGGUGGGGGCUUAUCUUGGCUUGUCUUAUUGCCCUUACCUUCACAUUACCAAUUGGGAUCAUUCAAGCCACCACAAAUCAGGUGCGUAUAUAUAACAUAUAUCGUGAAUAUAAUAUAAUCUCCAGCUGGAAAUCUUAAAAUAUAUAACUUUGAGUUUUGGUUUGCAGCAAAUAGGGCUAAAUGUGAUCACAGAGUUGAUAAUCGGAUACAUGUACCCUGGGAAACCCUUGGCAAACGUGGCUUUCAAGACUUACGGAUACAUCAGCAUGGCACAAGCACUAGGAUUCCUGGGUGACUUCAAACUAGGCCAUUACAUGAAAAUCCCUCCUAAAGUAAUGUUUCUGGUCCAGACAGUGGGAACACUAGUGUCGUCGACAGUCUACUUUGCGACAUCCUGGUGGCUGCUGUCAACAGUGAAAAACAUAUGUGAUCCAGACGCACUCCCCCCUGGGAGUCCAUGGACUUGCCCAGGAGACAGUGUGUUCUACAGUGCCUCAAUCAUAUGGGGAGUAAUUGGACCUCUAAGAAUGUUCACCAAAAAGGGAAUCUACCCAGAGAUGAACUGGUUCUUCCUCAUAGGAGCACUGGCACCCGUUCCUGUUUGGUUGCUUGCUAGGAAAUACCCGCAGAAGAAAUGGAUAAAGAUGAUCCAUAUGCCCCUCAUAUUUGCGGCUACUAACAGUAUGCCGCCGGCUAGACCAGUUCACUUCUGGACAUGGGGAGCAGUGGGGAUUUUCUUCAACUACUACGUCUACAACAGGUACAAAGGAUGGUGGGCUAGACACACUUACAUUAUGUCGGCUGCUUUGGAUGCUGGGGUUGCCUUCCUUGCUGUUUUGCUCUUCUUUCUUCUGCAGAACAAGAACAUCAAUGGUCCUGCUUGGUGGGGAUUGGAACAAAGUGAUCAUUGUUUGUUAUCGAGUUGUCCUACUGCCCCUGGAGUUGUUGUCCAUGGUUGCCCUGUCGUUUCUUGAUUCUAUCUCUGCUCAUUUGUCUAGACAUAUUCUGUUGUGAGAGUGGUAGAAUGAUACAUACAUGUUAUAUUAAUAAGAGAGGAAUUAGGAAGUGUUUUAUCAUUGUAGAAAGAUUAUUUACGUUUGGCCUGAUUUCUGAAUUCUGAUUGCAAUCAAUGAGAAAUACAAGUUCAACCCCCUAGCAUUUCGAUGUUCAAUUAUUGAUUCUCUUCUCUGGGUCCGUCUUUCACUUGGACCAUCAAACAAGACACGAAAGUUCCAUCAUACCUGGUCGCUCUCUCAUUCUGGAUCUGACCAAGUGGCGAGGACUCUAAUUCUUGCUCUGCUUCCGACGGGAACUUGGGUUUAAACUUGGACGACGACUGUCGACUUACUAGUGUGAGGGACGAUGACCAGUAGUAGGCUUUGCCUCCUGCAAUUGAAGUGGGGCGAUGGAGACUAGAGUCCGAUUCUGGAGACAGGGAGUUUCCUCUCUGGGGUACUUGGGAAAUUUGUAGAUUCAGAUCCCUUACAGCUCCCAUCCACCACCACCGACGAAAGCAACAUAGACUUCUUCGUCAUCGUUCAACAUGUUUGAUGCGGAGGAGAAGCUCCUAAGGUAAUGGCGCCGGAAGAGAGAAGUUGAAGAUGAGAAGAAGCAUGAUUACAUUUUUAUCCCUCAAAUUCAUACCGUUAGAUAUAGGUUUAAUUUAUGGACGGUCAAGAUUAACCUUUGAUUGGAUCAACUGCUUACGAUCUGUCCAGACGUCCACCACACUGCACCGCCAAAGGCUCUUCAUAACAAAUUGAUCAGAGAUCGAUCAAACUCUGGAGAAAAA
rnacentral:lncRNA from 1 species